CAUGCCACACCUCCCUUUUACCAUGAAAAAUCUUUCAUGCUCUUUUGUGUGCACCUUCUCCUCUCUUCCAUGAAGAACAAGGUGUGUCCUCCCAUCUUUCCUGUCACCCAAAGGAAAAAAAAGAGAGGGGGCGUCCAACUCUAGAAGCAGGCGUCCAAGAGUUGGACGCCCCACAUCUCAAUCAUCUUGUCUCUCCUCUUCUCCUCCCUUCUUGAAAGGUUUUUGAAAUCUUUUUUUAUUGAUUUUUAAGCAUCAAAAAGAGGCUUCUCUGCUGGUUAU
rnacentral:lncRNA from 1 species